UACGUAGGGUGCAAGCGUUGUCCGGAAUUAUUGGGCGUAAAGAGCUUGUAGGCGGUUUGUCGCGUCUGCUGUGAAAUUUCGGGGCUCAACCCCGAACUUGCAGUGGGUACGGGCAGACUAGAGUGUGGUAGGGGAGACUGGAAUUCCUGGUGUAGCGGUGAAAUGCGUAGAUAUCGAGAGGAACACCUGCGGCGAAGGCGGGUUGCUGGGCUGACACUGACGCUGAUGCGCGAAAGCCAGGGGAGCGAACGGG
rnacentral:rRNA from 1 species